GGUGAUUCGAUUUUGCCACAUUUUGGUUACUGGUCAGAUGUUGAUAUCAUUGUUCUAAAUUUCUGAGUAAGACGCUGUAACUGCCAGGAUACCUGCAGCCCCAAUAAUGGCGAAUAACACAAAUGGAGCAAAGCAUCUUUCAAACCAAACAAGACUGCUGCGACAGGGUCCGGUAUUUCAAAAGUUACCUGGGUUUCACGUAUCGACUAUGAUUAAUGCAUAGGGUAGAUUUCAUACAGUGCAUAUAAACGGGCGAAUCAUAACGUGAAUGGGUAUUUGUUUUUUCACUGUAUUUCAAUGCAUCUAAAUAUAAACCUAUCAGAUGGUUAAAAUCCAGGUGGAUAACUUUGGUAUAACCAGCCCCAGGUGACCUGCUUCUGCCGUGCAUGUGAUGAGAUGACACUAUACGCGCAGCCGUGCAAAGACCGUUCUCUCCCCCGACGUAUCAGACAACACGGAGGAUUCGACGUGGAUGCAAUGUGAAAAUGAGAUGAUUUUCACAAUUCAUUUAUUAACAAACGUAGGCCUAACUGCAGCGUUUGAAUGUUCAUUGCGAUGUAGCCUAUAGAUUAUAAAUGUGUUGCGCGUCCAUUCAAUGAUGCCUGGCCCAGCCUACGGACCGUUAUUGGAUAACUGGACUUGGAUUGGAUUGCUGUGUUGUAUCUACCAUGGUCACUAUCAUUCUCUUAUCAUUCCAUCCUGAUCCGAAUUCUGGACCAGAUAUCUGAAUAGGAAUCUUUAAAAUUGUGAAUUUGUAGUGCUUUCUAUGAGGAGAUGUGACAUAUCAACAUUUUCUUUUUUUGACCGAAAUGUGAAAGGUAACGGCGGAAUGAUUACCAGCUACUGUUGAGGAACACCUCAACACUAUUUUGUUAACAUUUUCUAAUAUAGCAUAUUUUACUAUGCCUGUGUGCGCAGGCGUGUUGGCCGGGACCCAGUCCCUGUGCUUGGAUACAUUCUGGCGUGAUGUUGGCUAUAUGGGGGGAAAGUGAAGAAAACAGAACAUUAACAUGCAUCGGCAAAGUGGUCUUCCGGCAACGAAAGGAUUUACUUGUUAUCCUUAAAAAAUACAUUGUGCCAGCGAAGAAUGUCAGGGACAUCCAAUACGGAAUCUGCUGAAGGAGUAGUCUCCAAAGUUAAAGUAAAAAAGCAGAUCAAGACAAUCGUGAAGGAUUUGGAGACCAUUCUGGGAGACUUGAGGGAUGUAGCCAAGGAACUCAAAGAGGUUGUGCAUGAGAUUGACUCCCUCACCUGUGACCUACAGCUGGAGGAGGAGAUGACGGACAGCUCCAAGACGGACACGCUGAACAGCAGUUCCAGUAGCACCGCCACCACCACCACGGCCUCCAGCAUCGAGAAGAUCAAGAUCUACCCCGACGACGCCUCCUUCAGGCCCCCGUCUGUCGUUCCCGCUGUUCUGACGGUGCUGAAGAAGCCCCACCCUCCCCCGCCCCCUCCCAGGCUGACACCUAUCAAGGCGGAGGAGAAUAACAAGAAUUCUCCAUCAGGGAACCUUCUAACCAAGGCUAAUGGGACACUUAUGCGCAACGGUGUUUUCCCUGGGAAGCCAAACAGAGACUUAUCGUGCUGCAUCUCUAAUAGUAAAAAGGACGAGAAGGCACUUCUGCCCGUACCUUUGCUACGGCACGAAAAGAGCAAAUGUGCCCAGGCGACCCGGGAGCGGGUCCGGUUCAGUGAAAAGGUCCAGUAUCAUGGCUACUGCCCUGACUGUGACCUGCAAUACGACGUUGAAAACACAGAUAUGCACUUACAGCUGGAGCUGACGGAUGACACCAGCCCUGUCCAUCAGUGCACCUCCUUACCACUCGCGUUGGAAAACGGCGGCCUCAGUGUUAGCUACAGUUUCCCACCCGCAAACCCACCUCUUGUGCCUCGUCCUCGCCCUUCCCCGAAGCCCCAGAAGACCAUCCUGAGGAAAUCGACCACCACUACGGUUUGAUGGUAAUCACCCGUAUUUUCAAUUCCCCCUGAAUUAUUUAUAGUGUUUUCUAAUUUCAUGAGCACUUUAUAAUCCGGUCAACGGAUGAGAACGGAUGGAGGGAGACGGAGAGGAUGUCGUCGUGAGCUCAGAAAUGCACAAGGAGAGAAUGAAUGGUUCCUCUAGGUAAGAGUGGAAACAGCCUUCACUGACACGAAACUGAUCAACUUUGGUACAUCAUGCAUUCUGUGAGAAUGAGGCUCCCCAUCUUUGACAAAAUCCCUGAUCC